UACGAAAGGGGGCUAGCGUUGCUCGGAAUCACUGGGCGUAAAGCGCACGUAGGCGGAUUGCUAAGUCAGGGGUGAAAUCCUGGAGCUCAACUCCAGAACUGCCUUUGAUACUGGCGAUCUCGAGUCCGGGAGAGGUGAGUGGAACUGCGAGUGUAGAGGUGAAAUUCGUAGAUAUUCGCAAGAACACCAGUGGCGAAGGCGGCUCACUGGCCCGGUACUGGACGCUG
rnacentral:rRNA from 1 species